CGAACAGUGUUUUUUUUUUCCUCAAGUUUAUGAACUUUUACUUAAGUCUAGCAUGCGAGUUGUUUUCCACCUCUGCUGAAAUAUUCCCUCGAACCGAACGAAUGUUGUUCUUUAGGUGAGGGUGGCCACAGAGGGCAUCAACGGAACAGUGGGGGGCACCUGUGUCGCCACUGAGGUUUAUGUGGACGCAAUGUGCUCGCAUCCUCUUUUCCAGAUGGAAAAAGAGGAUUUUAAGACAAGUGAUGGCGGUCCUGAGUGUUUCACCGAUCUGAAGGUGGGUGUCUUUGAGGAAAUCGUCCCGAUCGGAUUAGACCCUGACGUCCUCUCCUACCACCUGGCAGGAGUCCAUCUGGACCCUGAGGAGUUUCACAAAGAGGUGGC